AGAGUUUGAUCAUGGCUCAGAACGAACGUUGGCGGCGUGGAUUAGGCAUGCAAGUCGAACGAAUCCCACCGGGCUUGCUCGGUGGGGGAAGUGGCGAAAGGGGCAGUAAGGCGUGGGUAACCUACCCCCGGGACGGGGAUAGCCGCCCUAACGGGCGGGUAAUACCCGGCGAGCUCGCGGGGCCGCAUGGCCCGGCGAGGAAACGAGUUUCGCCUGGGGAGGGGCUCACGUGGUAUUAGCUGGUUGGUGGGGUAACGGCCCCCAAGGCGAAGAUGCCUAGCUGGUGUGAGAGCAUGACCAGCGCCACUGGCACUGCGACACUGGCCAGACACCUACGGGUGGCUGCAGUCGAGGAUCUUCGGCAAUGGGCGCAAGCCUGACCGAGCGACCCGCGUGCGCGAUGAAGGCCUUCGGGUUGUAAAGCGCUGUCGUGGGGGAGGAACGCCCGCAAGGGCCUGACCUAUCCCAGGAGGAAGCACGGGCUAAGUUCGUGCCUGCAGCCGCGGUAAGACGAACCGUGCGAACGUUGUUCGGAAUCACUGGGCUUAAAGGGCGCGUAGGCGGGCCACCCAGUCCGGGGUGAAAGCUUUCGGCUCAACCGGAAAAGGGCCUCGGAGACGAGUGGCCUGGAGGGAGGUAGGGGUCCGCGGAACUGCUGGUGGAGCGGUGAAAUGCGUUGAUAUCAGCAGGAACGCCGGUGGCGAAAGCGGCGGACUGGACCUCUUCUGACGCUGAGGCGCGAAAGCCAGGGGAGCGAACGGGAUUAGAUACCCUAGUAGUCC
rnacentral:rRNA from 1 species